GGUACUAAACGAAAAUUCUUGUUUUAACGUCUAUCAAACGGAAGUUCUUGAUCCCAUUCUCUCGAAGCUUCUCCCCCUCCCACUCUCUCGCUCACUCUCAAUCCUCUAUAUAUUCUCCUACUCUAUAUAUCCUCUGUGUGCCCCUUUCGUUUUUUCCAAAUGGGGAUUUCGAUGAUUCGUCCCUCUGAAGAUUUCAUUUAUAUUUCAGUUUUAUCUUUAUGAGUUUGAUUUUCUCUUUGGUUUGGAUUCGCUUCCGUGAGUCAGUCUGAUCAUUCUUUGAUUGAAUUGCUUCAAAGUCUAGCAGACAUGGAUAUAACAUUUCAAGCAUUCAAGAGUUCAAGGCUCUCUGCUCUCCUUCAACAACCACACCAACUCGAGCUUCCAUUAAAGUCUUGGGCUUCAAAGACAAGCAAGAAAUCUCAGAGACUCCAAGAAUCGGAAAAAUGGGAAGAUCAUGGGGUCAAGCAAUGUUUAUCGAAAGAUAGAGAAAAUGAAACCGAAAGGGAAACGCUACGCAGAAAGAAUAUAGGGUUUUAUCUUGAUUCUCUUGAGGUACACCGCGCAAAAACCCUAGAGAAAGAAAUGGAAAGUCAAGCCAAGUAGCACUCGAUUUGAAGUUAGAGCGAUCAUUCCGUUUGUUUUUCUACUCGAUGGAAGUAUUUGUCUCGAUUUUAUCAGGAACCAAACUGAAUGUUAAGUAUGCGACUAUCUGUUGAAGUUCUUGAUCGUGUUCAUUUCCGUUGUUGAUUCUGAUUUCUGAUCUCCCUUUGCUGGUUCAUUCACCAUUAAUUGCACCGCUUGACCCUUUGUGGGGGACACUUGCUGAAUGCAAUAACAAUUGAACACUUCAUUUUGAGACUGACUUUUCAUUUGAAAUUUACAUGCACAAAAGCUGCAAAAAAUGAUGAGAUGAAAGCACACAACAUAUUUGGAUUUGAAUGGUCUGAACCCUUGGUUACAUUUGCACUCUUCUGUGGAAGCUGUUCUUCUUCUCCUACUGUGGCCGGACAAUACCGAACACACAUUGUGGAGGAUCACCGGCCGGCCACAAGCCCACUAGCUUAAUGUAUCAAGUCAGCUGUUUCAAAAGAAGGAAGAUGAUGAUCAAAACCACAACAAUACGGAUCACGAUAGCAACAAGGAUCUUGUGCUUGCGUGCUUUUGAUGAAAGCAAUGAGUGUCAUCAACACAAUGAUCACGAGAAAUUUCAUCAAAAAUUACUUUGAGCCUUCCAUUAUCACAGCUUGUUCUUGCACUUUUCCAAAUAAAUGGGUUUAUAAUAUUGGAUCUCAACAAGAAGAAUAUCUUAAACUUUUUUGGAGCUCAUAAUGUAUUGGAGACCUGAAUAAAUAGGUGGAGACCAAUGCUUACAA